UCCCACCUGACCGGAAGGAAUUGCUUCUGGUCAGUGAGGUAGCUGUACCUCAAUGACCAAAAGGGGUUCCUCUCGGUCAGAGAGGCACAACAACCUCAUUGACCAGAAGGAAUCCUUUCCAGUCAAUGAGGUA
rnacentral:miRNA from 1 species